rnacentral:rRNA from 1 species
UGAGCCAAGUUUAGGGUUUUCUCAAAACCCAAGCAGUAUUGAACUGAAGAGUUUGAUCAUGGCUCAGAUUGAACGCUGGCGGCAGGCCUAACACAUGCAAGUCGAGCGGAUGAAGGGAGCUUGCUCCUGGAUUCA